AAAUGGGCAUUAUCAUAGUUUUUCCCAUUAUUAAUCCAACCUCAUAGUUUGGAAAUAUAUAUAAAACACAGGAACAUCUAUUUUGUUUACUGUACUGGGCCUUUAAGCAUGAAACCAUUCAGCUGAAACCAUAUGUCACUGGCUGGUGCACAGCUGUGCAAAUAGACAGACAGACAGUGCCCUUCAGUGUUCAAUAGAAGUACAAUGGAGUUUAGUUAAUUGAUAACACCACCCUCUUGAAAUACUUAGUGAAAUAAUGGUUGGCUUUUUAAAAAGGUAGAAAAAAAUGUUUUUACUGAUGUGGAGGAGAUCCUUUAUAAGAAACCUAUUUGAAAAGCACCAGGUUUGAAGAAAUUAGUUGUUAUUGUUGAUGUUUGACAACAACAGAAAGGCUGAAACUUCUGGAGGCCAUCCCUAACAACAGCAGCAGCUUGGCAGCCAGAGGUGUGCAGCAGCAGUUUUCUUAGGGUUGCCAUAGCAACACCACCGAUGGCAACCUGCAAACAGUGCAAUCCAGCCUCACGCUGCCUUUCCUGCUGCAGAGAGCACAGAGACAGUCAAAGAGACGGCUUCCGCCAAGACCAGCAAAACCACAAGCAGCAGCAGAAAUCACCCCCUCCUCUUCCUCCCUGCGUCUCCAUGGUAGGUUUCCAUAGCAACCCCUGCCUGCCUCUGCAGUGCCAGCUUUACGAGGUAGAUUCUGUGUUGUACGGUCUGUGUUGCUAUCCAUCCAUCCAUAGCAAGCCACCGCCAAGCAGCAGACAGACACAAUGCCACCAUUGUAUCCCUGCAAUUUCAGCUGUGCUCCCACUUUAUGGACAGAAACCAAUAAAUCAGUGCUUUUGUUAUCUCUUUUACAAAUGGACCAAAGGAGAAAGAGGAGAAAGCACAGUGGCUACAGAGAGAAAGAGUAAUGAUGACCAUUGUCACAUUGGUUGGUUGGGAGCCGACCGUCCUGUGCUAGCCUAUUGGUGUGCUGUAUACUCUACUCAAUUCCAUAGCUCUGUCUAUAUAUUUUAGAGUGGUUACAUUUCUCCAGGUCCAUCCCUCAGCUUUUUACCAAAACAGAGUCAGGUUGGCACUUUGUUCUUUUUUCAAUUUAGGAUUCUAGCUUUAAGAGGUAUUGUCACAAUGCCUGUUCUGUAAAGGUUCUGGGAUUGACUUGGCAUCAAGGAAAUUACUACUUUCAUACUGUAACUUGCCAGACUAUUUCAGUUGCCACAUGAAGUUCAGACAGAAUGACUGAGUUGCUGUCAGCAGCACAGAUGUGAAAAGCAAGGACGAACCUCAUCCCAUUACUGCAGUGCACGGCUGCUGUGAAAAUGCAAUAUCCACAGAAACGAAUGAGACAAAUACCUCCCUCACACACAAAAGGAGUUUAUUGGUGUCUGAUAAGUGGAACUUGUUUUGAAAUGUCAUUAUUUGCGACAGCAACUUCAGAAAGCGUCAGGGACUGCACGACUCUGAAACAAACGACCCUCGGCUAGCUAACGAUGGCAGGCAGGCUGUCGUCUGCUCCUCCCCAUGCAGCCAGACAGGGCAGCCAGGCGCACUGAUAGAUUUAUAUAAUAUAUAUAUAUAUAUACGAGAUGAGAAGGAAAUGAGGGGAGGAUGAAAGAAACAGCCAAGGUCUCUCAGCUGUACCAGCUAUGCCUGCCUGCCUGGGCCGGGGAAGAAAGAAAUGCUUCCUGAUGGGUGGAGAGCGAGAGAGAAGAGAUUGAGGGAACAGAAUGGAAUAGAACAGAAUAUUCUCUCCUGCUGCCAUCAGUCAUUCUAUAGUGACAGUUACUAAAGCCAGAAUCAAACUUGAGUAUAAUGGUUUCUUUCAAACAGUUCUAGAUCCUGUGACACCCAAUAUUUUACACCUCUUAUGCAUCUGAUGGGUUUGACUAUAACUUAGCCCAGCCGGAAAAUGUUGAAAUGGAACUAACCAAAGCCAUAUAUUUGGAUUUCUGUAUAUUUAGAAUGUAAUCUAGAUGUUUAUUUCUAAAUAUGUGUCUUUGUGUGGAACGGUGUAUGUAUCAUCGAAAGCUUUUCUUUUCCCCCCACAACAGUCUCAGGAAGGGGUGGCCAUGGUCCCCCCUCCAGCCAGGCCAACCUCCACCCUGCUCCAGCCGUGCCACUCCAUUUCUGAGGAUGCUCAGAGGGUCCUCCGGAAGGUCUAAUGACAUGAGAAUGUUUAACCCUCUCCUGCAACAGGUAACACACACAUACACUGUCUGGAGCCAUGCUCUGACGUACCUCUCACUCACGCAGACUGAUGUGUUGGCACAGGAUCAAAAAUAUGUUAUGGCCAUAUCUCCACUUUAUCAACAUAUGUCAUGAUAAUAAGGAUUACUACUUGAAUUAAUGGUUUAAAUGUUUGAGGUAACUCCCUUCCAGCACCAGAAUGUAACACCGCCAUGUGAAGAUAGCAAUUCAAAAAGAAUAACAAUUCUACAGCACUACAGCAUGUUCAUUUCAGCAAAUCUAUUCUUGGAGAAACUUGCUCAAUUUAAUAAAUACCCUUGCAACAUUUUGGGUUGUUGUUGUGAAGUGGAAAAUGUGCAGAGGGCAAAUUGGGAGAAUUCAAGGCAGUGACUGCCUGCGCUGAGCUCUAUUGUGGAGAGCUGAGAGCUGCGUCUCUCCUGUUGAUUGACAGCUGGCCUCGGAGCACACUGGAGGCAGCAGAGGGCUAAGCCAAAUGGAACAAUCACUGUGACAGGCAGCUGUCAGUGGGGAGGAGACGACGAGUGCGUCCCAAAUGACACCCCAUCGCCUAUAUAGUGCAUGGGUCCUGAUCAAAAAUACCGCACUCUUUAAGGAAUAGGGUGCCAUUUGGGACGCAGACGACUGCUGCCCUGCCAGCUCUCAGCCUCUCUCCGCACAACC
rnacentral:lncRNA from 8 species